AAAUAGUUAGUUUAAAAAAAACAUUUGAUUUCGACUCAAAAGCUUGUGGUUAAAUCCUGCAACUGUUUA
rnacentral:tRNA from 1 species